rfam:Aedes aegypti strain Liverpool supercont1.314 genomic scaffold, whole genome shotgun sequence.
CAAAUGGCCCUUUUCAGGACCACUAAAAUGUUUUUUUUGAGUUUUUU